GCUUAGUUCUUAUCUACCUCAUAAACUGAUUCUUGAUCAAGAGAGCUAGUCUUCUCAAUAUCUUAGAGACCAUUUAGUUAACAUUAUGAAGAACUAUAUUUUGAUUUUUGCCGUUGUCUUAGCCAUUGUUGCCGUAACAAAUGCGUCUGAGGAACAACGUGAAGAAGGAUCUCUCCACUUAGAAUCUGAAGGGCCUGUACUCCACAGAAUGCGUAGGGAAGAUUGCAACAACAGGGAGUGCCACAGACUGUGUAGACGGAUUGGGAUGGCUGGCGGCAUUUGCUCCAGGGACAAAUGCGACUGCGAUCUACUUUAGUGUGUGAUUAUUACCUUUAAGAUGUUCCACGAGAAAAUGUACCUUAUGGAGGGAAGUCACUUAAGACGUUUUAUAGUUCCUUUUUAUUAUAAAUGCAUAUUGCGAUGCGUCGUAAGCGACUGGUACGGUAUCUUCUCUCGAACCCAGCUCAAGUAUUUUACAGCUAGAAAAAAAAAAACAUCCGACCGAACCUUAAAAUGCAAAAAGAACAUCAAUACCAUCGCGCGACUCAAUAACAUUUUCGAAUUCCAUUUGCUCUCCGACCGACAGUGAGAGCGACUGUUGAAAUCUGUAAAAAUACCCGAAGCAAAGACCGCCACACCAAAGGCCGUGGGCUGCAAUAAAAAGUGAAUAAUAAAUCUGUCCGUCUGUUACGCACUUUGAGAAUUUUUAAGCGCGAUAUGAACGCGACUGUACCUGUGUUGCGGUGCGACAUAAAAACCGAUGGAUCUUUUGGAUGGAGUUUUUGGCCGGGACUUUGUUCGUGUUAAUUAACCACUAAUCACCAAUCCCAAAUUAUUAAUAGCCUUUUGUAAAAUAAAAAUUAACUGCAUACAAAUAAAUAUAAUUAAUAAAAAUUGUGUUAAUCUCAAAGUUCGAAAAAUACAGAUAUGAUGAAAAUCGUGUUAUUUUUCUAUAGGUUCAUUCUGGUCUCGGGGCGUCAUACCCAAGAAAUUCAACUGUAAAUACACUCAGAUUAGAUAGAGAGAGGUAGUGAUAAAAAUCGGAUAAUAACGUUGGUAAUAUUAAGUACUAAAAGUAUUCUUGGUUAUGAUGAUAAUGCAUCAUUAUGGAAAAUUCACAACUAUUUUGUUUAAAGAGUGGCUAAUUCAAACUAAAUUUAACACAGUUGUGUAGGUGUAGAUGUAAUUCUAAGGCUAAAUGGGAUCCCAAAGCUCGCCGGCUCUCACAGUUUGUAUUAAUUAUUAAUUACUGUUCCGAUCGCCCACGCGGCCGGCUGUUUCCCAGUGCUUUUUGACGCUGCGGCCGCGCUGUCAUUACAAUUUUUCAAAUUUUAACAAAGACAAGAAUAGCUUUAAUAUCUGACUUGAAAAUAAUUAAUCUGUACUGUGGUAAUGUACAUUUUGGGAAUUAUUAAUUCCUUCCUUAAGAAAAUUAAGAUCUGUGACAAAAACAGACAAAAAUAUAUAGUGUUUAUUUUAUCCUUAGUUGAAUUACUAUAUUAUUUAUCUCAAAUCGAAAAGAGGCUAUGUGUACACUACAUCAAAUGUCACAAAAAGUACAACUCCGGGAUAUUCUCGACAAAACACUGAAUGUGACACUCUGACAAAAGCGGUCUACAAUAGCAGCAAAAAAUGUAUUGAAUAGUUCGUUCGAUACCAGUUUGAACCGGCUGAACCUAUCGAGUUGAUGAGUCACUCCAUCCAACUUUCAUAUGAAUUGGUUUUAGGGUAUGUAGGUAAUAUCGUACAUACAGAGCUGAGUAAAACUCAAAUGAACUUGAGUUAAUGUCAAAUUGAUUAGUUUAGUUAUUUAUGUAGGUAAUAUCUGAUGCUUCUUCUCUAUUGAAAAUUUUCCGGUAAUGUGGGCUCACAGUAAAUUAACUCCUUCCGUUAAGCCUAACGGGACCUCAUUUCACUUUGGUAAUCAUCAUUAUCAACAGAAUUUGAAAGUCACCAUGACCCACCGCGCGGACCCAUUGCGGGUUGGCGGGUUCCAACGACUGCAAAUACAACCGGGACCAAUGGCUAUACAUGCCUUUCGAAUCACGGAGGAGUUCAAGAUAAUUUUGGUCACCCAUCCAAUGACAGACCAUUGUGAGAGUGUCUUAACCACCACUGUGAUAGUGGUGGUAGGCUGAGCGCGCUAACCAUUGCGCCAUUCGACUCCAACCACCUCAUGGGUAAUAGUCUGAUUCUAUUACUUACAUAAGUCAGAAUUUCCAAUCCCGCGGGAAACGGGCGCGAUAUUUGUCUUCAUUAGGUCCAAAUCUGUAGUGUCUUUCGAUCUUGACAUUGGCAAAAUGAUCGUCUAGCUGAAAGACGGAGCUAUAAAUAAAAAUGUAGUGAAAUGCUUGUGGAUUUUGGGAGUUUAAAUUUUGUGAUAUAUUAUAAGGUGUUAAGUUAACAUUCAAAUCAGAAGUUUUGUAUCAAAAAUUGAAGCAAAACUGAAGAAAACUAUAAUAAUUUAUAUAAACAUUUUAUCCAUUAAUAAUCCUUAUUUAUUAAAAACUAAUUAAUGUCAUAAACCAAGUACGGUAUUUGAUGUUGGUUGACUAUACGCCGCAUUUAUGGACUAAGGACCCAUUGGGAUGAGGCAUUGAACUAAAUCUUCUUCUAAAUAAAUAUUGCUCCAAUUCAGUUCCAGCGACUGUAAAGUGCAUAUAUAAUUCGAUUUCCCUUACGAGCAGGGACGGUGGCGAAUCGAGUUUGUCACAAAUAUUGCAUUCCACCAUUUUCACUCCACGGAAACUUAUCUGCCGUGUGCAGAUAAAAUCGCUUUACGCUCCAGUCUAUCCAAAAGGGGGAUCAGCUAAACGCAGCUAUUAUAUUCUAGUACAUAACAAAAAAAUUGUUUAUGAUAAAGCGUGUAUGCGAGAUGCGUGCAGUGUGGCGUGCCGCGUCGCGAUAUUAACAGCGUCGCCGAAUUCUUUGCGGGACGGCAUUUCAUGCUGGCGUUAUUGGACGCGGUACUCUGUGGGGACUACAAAACACCGUGUACUCAGUUUCAGGUACCUAUAUCAUCUGUACUUCGUGUUUGUUGUUAUAUUUUUAGGACCUGGAGAGUAUUAUGUAUUCUUUAUGAUAGAAUCACCUCAUGUCCUACCUGCUGUAGGUGAAAAAACUUUGUCAGCUGUCAUAGAUUAUUAUUUCGAGCCGUCAAGUUCUUUCCUCUUAGUUCUUUUAUAAUUUAACUUAAUUCUCCUCCGUUCAUUCUUUCCAUUCCUCAUAAUUUAGUGUAUACAAAAUAACGAGUUUUUAAAUUUUGUCAAAUUCUAUCUCAUGCGCCUACACAUGAGAUAGAAUUUUUUCUAACAUUUUCUUUAGAUAUGAGAGCUUCCGAGCUUUUUGAGUUUACUGUUGAUACUUUUUUACCCUUUCAAAGCCGUCUGUUACAACACCUGCGUUGCUUAAAUUAUGUAAAUACUGCUUAAUUCGAAGUCCCUCUCAACAUUUUUAUAUUCGCUCGUAUUUUUUGGCCGUCUAGCGCAGAAAAUUACUUUUUGAUACAUCUUCGGAUAAAGCGGUCCAUUGAGUUUGUGAAAGAUGUGGUUUAGUUGAAAAAUAUUGUGUAUUUUUCUAUUAGUGAUAGUGUUGCCUGUGCCCGUCCCGGCUUGGAUAAAACUAUAAUAAAUUAUAGAAUUAAACCUCCCUAUGGAAUCCCAGUAUCUAUUGGUGAAAACCGUACAAAUUCCGUCGGGUAGUUUUUGAGUUUAUCGCUUACAGACAGACGCACGCAACAGAGAUAUAAGGAAUUAUUCUUAUAUAAUAGCUAUAAUAGCUUUUAUAUUCCCAUAAUACGUACAUUUUUAAACUAUUUGCGGCCUUUUAUUGUGUUGCAUGAGAAGUCCGUGUAGGGUAGGGAUGCCGACGACCAUGCGAAGUGGAGACGAAAAAGUAGGAAAGCGAACCCUGGGCUCCGACGUUCAAUGGCUGAGGAAGUAAUCAGGAAAACGCUGAGACAAGAGAGAGAGAAAGAGAGUGUCGCAUGAAAAGUAUUUUUUUACAAAUUUACUAAAUUUAAUUAAACAUAUAUUGAAUCAACAAAUGAUUUUAUCAGUGGUUUUGUAUUAUUAUCAUAAUCGGAAAAGUGCAAUGAUUAACGAUCGAAGUAUAGAUAGUUCACUUAAAACUUCAAGUUGGGUUGUUUUUGUCGCAUCUGUCUCAUUAAUCAAAGAUGGCAAAUACUGCGCCCUUUCCGUGUAGAUAAUUUUCUACGUGGCCCGAAAAAAUAUUUUUAUUUAUGAGUGUAUCCUAUUAAAGCGUGUCCAUUGUGUCGUGUUUUGUGCGAGUUAUCUUAUUUGUAUUGCUGCAACACACACUUAUUUAUUUUCAUUGGCUUUGUUUUUUAUAUAUAAUCUAUGCCUUGUUGCUGUUCUGCACCGUUAAUUUGUAUUUGUGUAUUUGUAGCUAUUGUACAAAUAAAGAUUUAUCUUUCUAGAUAUCAAUUUUUGUCCCAAAAAUUUCUAAUGUACGUAAAUUAAGUAAAAUGCUUUUUUUUCUUGUCGUAGAAUACUGUCGAUGUAGACAAUAUGUUCGAUCUAACUUUAUAAUAAUGUUUUAAUAUUAAAAAGUGAAAUUUUGUUUUUGAGAGUAAAUUCUGUUAAUCUUUGUGGCAAUUUGUAAUCAUGAAAAUGACUAAAGUUG